AGCUCUCCUUCGUUCACACACACGCACCCGAGGUGGCUUUUCUCGCGGCCGUCCUUGGAGACCAAAAGCGAUGCGGGCAGCCCUGCAGCACAGCCCCACCGCCUGCCGCAGCCCGGCCCGGCUGUCCCCUGCCGUCCCUUUGCCCACAGCGGCUCACGAAGCAAAGCGCUCCGAGCGAGGCGAUGUGCGCUGAUAACACCGUGCGCCGCUCCAAAACGGGGCAGCGAGAGCAAAUUUAAGCUGUUUCGAAACUCCUUUUUUUUUUUUUUUUUUCUUUCUUUCUUUCUUCCUAUUGUUAUUAUUAUUUUAAUUCUUAUUUCUCGCCGGGAGAAUUGUUUGCGGCUGCGGAGAGCGGCUGCUUCAACAGCUCUGCGUCUCCGCUUAGUAAAGUCAAUACAGACAGUGAUGCAGAAGUCGGUGAUAACGCACCCGGGGAUGCGGAGAGCGGAGGCGGCCGAGCCGGGCAGCGGCACCGAGAGCCGCACAGGGAACCACACCGGGAGGGGCCGUUCCCCGCCCCGCAGAGCUCUGCGCUGCUCCAUCGCCGUCCUGAGUCCGAUCUCCCACUUGGGCCGUGCUCUUCCCCGGGCUGCAGCGUUCCUCGCUUCCCCGUUGUCGCUGCAGGACGGCCGCGCUGUGCCCGGUGCUGCCGUGAGCCGGGCAGGGCAGAGAGGUCUCGGGUCACCCCGGGGGCUGCCGGGUCGGGUUCGGAGCGGGGUUCGGCGCCGGUGGAGCGGACAGACCCUCCGGGAGAGGUACCGCAUAUUUCGGGGUAACGUCCCCCUCUGCUGAACUCCCCCAAGAGGGCAAGGAAGGAGCCGGACCGCGAGCGGCCGAAAGCAAUGCCGAGAGCCUCGCUGAGCCCGGCUGGGGCUGCAGGUUGCAGGGUGCGGGGCAGAUCCCUCUGCUAACAGCUCCCCGGGCUCACACAGGUUUGCGGUUUGGCUGUAAGCGGGUGGGCAGCGGGGCGGCUACGGCAUCGGAACCGCGAACGGAGCUACAAAAACACGCACACAAAAUGCUUUUAAAAUAAAACCGCGUUUACAAAUGAUUCUAAAACA
rnacentral:lncRNA from 1 species